ACAGCGGCAGGUGGCAGGUGGCAGCAGAAAAUGACUGCACAGGGCCAGUGGCAACAGAGUGGUGGAGUGAACAGUGGCACAACGAACAGACGUGGCCAGAGCAAACAGUGAGCAGCUGGAGGAACCAGCAAGGU